UUGAGAUUCUUAUAUUGUUUGAGGAUUCCAUUUUUUUUUUUUUUUCACAGUGGCUGGAGCAAUCCAAUACCUUCUGAAGAGUUUGGAAAACAACUCUGAUCACAGUAUAAAAGCAGAUUGCUGCAUUGGAUUACCAAAUAUUUUCUUGAUAGACUGAUGGGGCCAGUCAACAGGAUCAACUUGAAUUUCUUUCCUGCCAGAAAGGAAUGCCUAGAAGCAGAGCCCCCUUGUGUGUGUGGCAUCACCAGGGGCUUACUCCAGUUACCUCAGGCCUUAGGUUUGAGGUAGUCAGAGGAAAAGCAUAUUCCUCAGUCUUGCGCUGUGAUCCUCAGCAUCAAAAUGCUUUUUGACUUGCAAACUAAUAAGAAGGUGGAGGACUGGUGAAUUCCACAACUCGGGUUCCAGAAGAAAUAUUCAGUAAAGCAGCAAGCAGCAUUGGAAGUAUAAUAAGGAAUACAACUGAAAAGUUUGUUGUUCAAGUGUAUUUUGAAAAUUUUUGGGUUUCUGGUUUGAGAGACUUCCUGAAGUCACUGUCCUCAUUGUAUUCAAUAUAUAUUAUGAGAUAUAAGCAGCAGCCUCCAGGAAUAGUGGGUAUUACUGGAGAGGCACCCUUUUGGAUGUGAGCUGCAAAGACUCAUGGGUUGACAAAAGACUUGCGUAAUCUUUCAGUAUUUAACUAUUCCUGGAAUGGCUCAAAGAAGGAGCUAUGUGAGAAGUGAACUUGUAGAUAAAUAACUCUGGCACAGAGCUCCGCACCAUCUGCAGACAUUGCAGAAAUGAGCAGGGGAAGCCAACGAGCUGUGAGUGACAGAGAUUAAUCUUCAAAGUCACAAAGGCAUGUAGCUCUGUUUGGAAUUCAGGCAACACUGGAGAGCGUCACAGCCCCAGAACAUUUCUUUGAGGCAAUGAAGACAUUUAUCAGCCAUAACUCUCAGGUGACUGCAUGUCCUGGAAUCCUUGAUACCAUCGAAUCAAAAAGAACUCAGAAGAAAGAUACUUCCCUUUAAAAGUAGGAGAGGCAGCAAGAAGAUUAUGUUCAAUUCUUUACUUAAAACAGCUCACCAACAUUCCUGAGAUGAAGCUGACCUACCACAUCCAGAGGGCUGGGAAGGAAACGAGGAGGUCACCACACCUCACAGACAUGCUUCUUUUGGGUGACAUAUGGACUCCCUCUUUGGGAUAAGUUAGACUAAAAUUGUUAGACUAAAAGAGGAUGCUUCAAAAUUAAAAUUAUCCUUUUUGAAACAUUUGUUUAUUGAUCAACAUAUUUGUUUUUAUAGAACACAUUUGUAUUUAUAGAAUAGUUCUAUGGAAAAGACCAUUUUCAAAAAUAAAAUUCUUUCUAAAACAUAACA
rnacentral:lncRNA from 12 species